GACAGAGGGUGCAAACGUUGUUCGGAAUUACUGGGCGUAAAGCGCGUGUAGGCGGCUCGGCAAGUCGGAUGUGAAAGCCCUGGGCUUAACCUAGGAAGUGCAUUCGAAACUGCCAAGCUUGAGUUCUGGAGAGGAAGGCGGAAUUCUCGGUGUAGAGGUGAAAUUCGUAGAUAUCGAGAGGAACACCGGUGGCGAAGGCGGCCUUACUG
rnacentral:rRNA from 1 species